AGUGUCAUUGUUGCUUCGAAGAGGAGGGGCAGAGGCUGGCAUGGCAGAGAGGUCUGCACUGACCCCGCAGCCGGCGCCGCCGGCGACAGAGGGAGCAUCGCUUCGGCCUUCGCGUGCGGGCGCCACCGUCGACAAAGUAGCAGUGACCCCGCAACCAGUGCGAGCGGCGUGGGAGAGAUCCGUCGAGCACGAGCCUGCUCGACCUGCGGCAGAGAGACCGGCGAUUCGCCUGCGUGGAAGGCAUGGUCGCUGUUUCUAUGAAGGGACUUGUCAUAACCAUUAGAAGCCGACACUCAUACACAAAAUUCUAGGCACAAACAAAUGAUGCGUGGAACAUAGCACUAUGCAACCAGACCAGCUGGCUGCAUCUAGCGCAAGGCAGGUUGUAAGGAGUUUGUUCUAAGUGCCAGCCUCGAUAGGAAUGUACAUGCUUAUGGCGUAUCACUAUAACAGCCAAGGAAGUGCAAUGGAUUGUGUUUGAUGCUCUCUAGCCUCCAUUGAGAACUUUCGUGCUUGCAUAUGCCCUACUUCUAGUCCUUUAGCCACUUUCAGUCUGACACUGAUUUGGAACAUUUCAAUCAGUUUAUUUCACUAUUCAGUGUGUGAGGAAAGAAUAUUUUUUCUGUAUUUGUAUGACUGCUGCAAAUCGUUUGACCCCUUUUAUGUAAGUCUGUGAACUCCACUAAGACUAUCAGCUUGGAUAUCUACCAAGACUAUAAGUAGGUACAUCUAUGUUUGUCUGAUUGGUUUCAA